rnacentral:rRNA from 1 species
AGUCGAGCGGUAACAGGAAUUAGCUUGCUAAUUUGCUGACGAGCGGCGGACGGGUGAGUAACGCGUAGGAAUCUGCCUGGUAGUGGGGGACAACAUGUGGAAACGCAUGCUAAUACCGCAUACGCCCUACGGGGGAAAGGAGGGGAUCUUCGGACCUUUCGCUAUCAGAUGAGCCUGCGUGAGAUUAGCUAGUUGGUGGGGUAAAGGCUCACCAAGGCGACGAUCUCUAGCUGGUCUGAGAGGAUGAUCAGCCACACUGGGACUGAGACACGGCCCAGACUCCUACGGGAGGCAGCAGUGGGGAAUAUUGGACAGUGGGGGCAACCCUGAUCCAGCCAUGCCGCGUGUGUGAAGAAGGCCUUAGGGUUGUAAAGCACUUUCAGGAGUGAGGAAGGGUGUACGGUUAAUACCCGUAUAUUUUGACGUUAACUCCAGAAGAAGCACCGGCUAACUCUGUGCCAGCAGCCGCGGUAAUACAGAGGGUGCGAGCGUUAAUCGGAAUUACUGGGCGUAAAGCGCGCGUAGGCGGUUUGUUAAGUCGGAUGUGAAAUCCCAGGGCUCAACCUUGGAAUGGCACCCGAUACUGGCAGGCUAGAGUACGGUAGAGGGGUGUGGAAUUUCCUGUGUAGCGGUGAAAUGCGUAGAUAUAGGAAGGAACAUCAGUGGCGAAGGCGAC